GCGCUGGGGGUCAAGCUGCAGCGCCAGAGAACACCCUCGUGCAUAACUGGGGCCGCUGCCCUCCGCGGAUGGCACCCUUAAGCAGGAGCAACACAG
ensembl:snoRNA